CAUUGGCAGAGUGGACUAUGUCCACUACUCGCACCCUCGCACUCAGCAACAUUACACCAGCUUUAGCUACGAGAUGAGCACACGUAUUUGCUAAUCUGCAUCAAACAACUCCACCUGAAUAUUACUCGUACACAUCUCCCUAAUUUCCUGAACAGAAGGGCCAACAUGAUAUCUAUUUAACCCAUUACACUAAUUGUUUACUACCUCCGCAUAGUCAUGCUCGAUAAUUACAUUGUUCAACCCUUGAUUCAAUACUCUGAAGACAAAUACACCAAAAAUAUAAUUUUUACACACCAUGAUAGCCUCAUAUCCAUCCCCACACACAUCACACUAACAUCAGACCCAAACAUAAGAGAGAGGAGAUGAGACAGCGAGGCCAACACAUGGGAUGUUGCUGCACCAAUAUGCCGAGGGUCACGGCUGCCAGCAGGGGCAGGAGGGCAGGGGUGCUGCUGUGGCCUCAAGGCGAUGCAGAUGCGGAUGGGUACGUCAUGGGCUUGUGGUAGACCGACGAUGGCAGCCGACACAGGCAGUUGCCGGGUGGAUGUGGGUGGCGUGGACAUCUACAGGAGCACAACGGGCAAAGAUCAGAGGCGAUGUCAAUCUGUGUGUAUCAUGAAAGUCUGCAUAAUAUAAUUUGACAAUAGAAAAGGAACACACAAAGAUUAUACCAACAAUCUUAUCCAACUUAUAAACAAAGAUCUUGAUUCUACUUCCUAUAACAUAGGGAGCGCAGAAAUUGUAAUUUUGAUCCCAGUUUUACAUUUUAAUUUAGGGGCUCAGACAUCCAAGCUCUAGAUCAGUACAUAUCCAAGCUCUAGAGUAAAUCAUACAAUUAAGUUUUGCACGGGAAUUUUGGGCCGCGUGCAGCAUAACCCAAACAGACACAAUAUAUGAUUGCAGUUAAACUUAUCAAUGAAUUUCAGUUGCAUAUCUUUGAGUCGCUGACUAAUAGUGUGCCAUUAUUCUUAGAUAAAUUACCAUUUUGCCUCCAUGAACGGAAACAUCAUCAAGCAAAACACAAGACACAAUGACAAUUCCUAUUUAUGAAAGAAGAAAGAAUGGCACAAAAGCUGAAACAACAAACUUGGUCUCAUACUAUGGAUAUUACAAAAAAAUUGUUUCAAUUAUUAAAUACCAAGACACAAAUUAGAAUUAGAUGACUUUGCAAACCUGGAUACAUCUAGAAAGGAUAACUAAAAUUUACAAACGCUAUAGUCGAUCUGAAUAACAUACAUGUUCCCAAUGGUCUCCCAUCAAAAUUAGCUAAUUUGGUCGGCGUUUGCUGAAUUUCUUGCGUGGCCAUCCAAAUCACCCUCUUUUCCAUUACUUUCCUUUGUACCACCAACUCAAAAUUCCCCUUUUGCUAUAAUUACCACGCAUUCUUACAAACAAAUGUGUUAAUGGGACGCCCAAGGGUCAGGUCCAAUGAAAGAGAUAGUGUAUGUACCUUGAGUGAGUAAGUUUCUGUUGAAGGUCAUCAAUCUCUGCUUUCAACAUGCUUAAAUCUCAAAUGUUGUUUAUCUUAUCUCUCCCCACUCAGCUCCUGCUUGAGUGAAGCAGCCUUUGCACAAAAUUCUUUCCUGACAGCAAGGAGCUUCUUGAUUUCACCAGAGAUGCACAACCUCAUCUAAAAUGUUUUCAAUCACUGAAACCUAUCUACCCAAAUAUGAAUCUUUCAGACUUGAAUCAGACAGGGACAAACGGGAACUUGUUGAUGAGCUUAUUUGUUCAUGGAGAUGAACAAGAAGCAAACAUGGAGAAUAAAGGCAUGAGCCUGUGUAAUUCCUUUGUCAGUCUGCUCCACGCCUCCACAUUGGUCAGAUCUUGUACUCUAUAUGGACACUACAAUAUUUCUGAAACUUAAGAGUGCACAGAUUAGGCCCUUCACGGCUCCCACUUAAAGUGAACAUCUUUACAUCAUGAAGCAUCAUUCUUGAACAGUAAGAAGUUCCAAUUGGAUCAAACUAACAACACAUAAAUACAAAUCACAUAAUUACUAACUAUCAUAAAUCCAGCCCAGAUUCUCAAGCAAUAGUACAAUAGCAAAAGUACACACUGAGAAUUACAACAGCAAGGUCAUCGUUCAUGAUCUGAUUAUACAAAAUCUAGUACUCAUCUUAUAGGAUGGGGUACCUCUCAGAUGGAUGACUCGCGGAUGGCGUUCAAAUCCUACUUUCCUUUCUAAAAAAAUAGUAACAUCUUCUCUGAUCUAGAGAGAAGAGAUAACAAAUAGUCAGUUCAAUUUGGAAGAAUUUAGAACAUACAAAUCAUCUUCUAUCUACUGUAAUAGGAAGUACUAAGUAGCAGCAAAACUUCCAUCAGCACACACGCAACACAUAGACACACACGUGUGGCAGCGGCAAGCAAACACAGACACACAGGGUAAGCACAAAGCAACACGCUGUCAC
rnacentral:lncRNA from 1 species